AAGGUAGAGGCGCUGUACUUAAUAGUACUUGUAAAUGACUGGCAAGUAAUGAUUUACAAGGAAAGGAAUUGCAGCCGAAGAAAUCUUAUAGGCAUAUAAGGUUUCUGGACUUAUACAAAAUAUGUAUAAGGCUGUCACUUUUUAUAAGUGUUGAGCUACAA
rnacentral:ncRNA from 1 species